rnacentral:lncRNA from 12 species
CAAAAUAAAUAUUGGAAAGGCCACGUUCGUCAGUAGGCACUCCAUCUGUACACUUCAAACCCACACUCAUCAUCAAGGCACCCAGGGGAUGUUGGGAGUUUUCUUUAUUUUUCUUCUCUCCCCCUUGCUUCCCUUCUUAGCCAGAACAAGACCAAGGGAAGCCCAUUCCCAGAUAUUCAGGCCAUAAGGAAAGAGGACUUUCCUUUGGAGACUGACAGCUCUGCCUGCGAUGCCGGCCACCGUGCUCCAGGAGAAGGCCGCCUCGUGGUCUCGCCCGUGGACAUGCCGAGGCAUGCCUGACCUGUCCUCACUUGGUCUAAGAAGAUAGAGGAUGCACACACUUGCACACGCGUGUGCACAGGCACAGUUCCUCUGAAGAUACAAACUCAUCCAUCAGCCCAACGCAUGUUUUACGACCUAUAAACAUCGUUAAACGACGCCAUUCGACACCUGUGGGGGCGGAAAUCGCUGCUUUGGGAAAGGUCCUCUCGGCGGCAGGGGUGCUGCCCUGCAGGUGGGGCCCGCAGCUCCAGGCCGCCCGCCGCCGCCCCUCCCGCUCAGGUGGGACGCCUGCGCGGGGCCAGGUGAGCUUCCGAGGUGGCCAGGUGAGCUUCUGCCGCGGCCAGGUGAGCUUCCGAGGUGGCCGGGUGAGCUUCCAAGGUGGCUGGGUGAGCUUCCAAGGUGGCCAGGUGAGCUUCCGAGGUGGCCGG